CCCAGACUCCUACGGGAGGCAGCAGUGGGGGAUAUUGCACAAUGGGGGGAACCCUGAUGCAGCGACGCCGCGUGGGUGAAGGAGCGUUUCGGCGCGUAAAGCCCUAUCGGCAGGGAAGAAGGAGGACGGUACCUGACUAAGAAGCCCCGGCUAACUACGUGCCAGCAGCCGCGGUAAUACGUAGGGGGCAAGCGUUAUCCGGAGUUACUGGGUGUAAAGGGGGCGCAGACGGCAGCGCAAGCCAGGAGUGAAAGCCCGGGGCCCAACCCCGGGACUGCUCUUGGAACUGCGCGGCUGGAGUGCAGGAGGGGCAGGCGGAAUUCCUGGUGUAGCGGUGAAAUGCGUAGAUAUCAGGAGGAACACCGGUGGCGAAGGCGGCCUGCUGGACUGCGACUGACGUUGAGGCCCGAAAGCGUGGGGAGCAAACAGGAUUAGAUACCCUAGUAC
rnacentral:rRNA from 1 species